GAUGAACGCUAGCGGCAGGCCUAAUACAUGCAAGUCAAGGGGCCAGCAAUGGCACCGGCGCACGGGUGCGUAACACGUACACAACAUACCUUUAAGUGGGAGAUAGCAUCGGGAAACUGGUGGUAAUACCCCAUAAUAUUGCGAUGCGGCAUCACAUUGCAAUUAAAGUUUCGACGCUUAAAGAUUGGUGUGCGUCCGAUUAGCUAGUUGGCGGGGUAACGGCCCACCAAGGCUACGAUCGGUAGGGGGUGUGAGAGCAUGACCCCCCCANAUGGGUACUGAGACACGGACCCAACUCCUACGGGGAGCAGCAGUAAGAUAUGGACAAUGGACGAAGUCUGAUCCAG
rnacentral:rRNA from 1 species